rnacentral:rRNA from 1 species
CCUACGGGUGGCAGCAGUGAGGAAUAUUGGUCAAUGGACGCAAGGCUGAACCAGCCAAGUCGCGUGCAGGAUGACGGCCCUCCGGGUUGUAAACUGCUUUUAGUUGGGAAUAAAAGGGGGCUCGUGAGCCCCGUAUUGUAUGUACCAUCAGAAAGAGGACCGGCUAAUUCCGUGCCAGCCGGCGCGGUAAUACGGAAGGUCCGGGUGUUAUCCGGAUUUAUUGGGUUUAAAGGGAGCGUAGGCCGGCUUUUAAGUGAGCUGGGAAAGUCCGGGGCUCAACCGUGGAAUUGCAGUUGAAACUGGAGGCCGUGAGUGCACAAAGGGAAGCCGGAAGUCAUGGUGUAGCGGUGAAAUGCUUAGAUAUCAUGAAGAACUCCGAUCGCGAAGGCAAGUGUCCGGGGUGCAACUGACGCUGAGGCUCGAAAGUGCGGGUAUCAAACAGGAUUAGAUACCCUAGUAGUC